AUGGAGUUGGGGCUAGCUGGAUUUUCCUUUAUUGCUAUUUUAAAAGGUGUCCAAUGUGAGGUGCAGCUGGUAGAGUCUGGGGAGCUUGGUGAAGCCUGGGGGUCCCUAAAACUCUCCUGUGCAGCCUCUGGAUUCACCUUCAGUAGCUAUGCUAUGCACUGGGUCCGCCAGGCUCCAGAAAAGAGCCUGGAGUGGCUCUCAUACAUUAGUGGUAGUGGUGGUAGCACAAGUUAUGCAGACUCCGUGAAGGGCAGAUUCACCAUCUCCAGAGACAAUAACAAAAACACAUUGUAUCUGCAAAUUAACAGCCUGAAAGACGACUACACUGCUACAUAUUACUGUGCAAAAGACACAGUGUGUGAACUUCAGUGUGAGCCCAGGCACAAACCUACCUGCAGGGACGCGCACAACCAGUAG